UCCCCUUUGGCCCGGAAUCUGAUGCUCCAUAAAGUGGAGACCCUGCCCGAUCUCUUCCAACGAGCUCAAUCGUAUAUUGAGAUAGAAGAGGAGAACAAUGACAAGCUGGACGAACUCGAGCCGUCCAGCCAGAAGAAACCUCGCUAUGCUAAAGAAGAUGCAUACGAGGAUACAAGUUCCCAAUCCGAAACCUCGACUACUCUUCUUCGAUACAGCGAGGAGUCUCCGGGUAGCAGUUAUGACCACCAGAGUCAUAGCUCACACCCUAAAUCCAGUACCAG
rnacentral:lncRNA from 1 species